GAUGAACGCUGGCGGCGUGCCUAAUACAUGCAAGUCGAGCGAACAGACGAGGAGCUUGCUCCUCUGACGUUAGCGGCGGACGGGUGAGUAACACGUGGAUAACCUACCUAUAAGACUGGGAUAACUUCGGGAAACCGGAGCUAAUACCGGAUAAUAUAUUGAACCGCAUGGUUCAAUAGUGAAAGACGGUUUUGCUGUCACUUAUAGAUGGAUCCGCGCCGCAUUAGCUAGUUGGUAAGGUAACGGCUUACCAAGGCAACGAUGCGUAGCCGACCUGAGAGGGUGAUCGGCCACACUGGAACUGAGACACGGUCCAGACUCCUACGGGAGGCAGCAGUAGGGAAUCUUCCGCAAUGGGCGAAAGCCUGACUGGGCAACGCCGCGUGAGUGAUGAAGGUCUUCGGAUCGUAAAACUCUGUUAUUAGGGAAGAACAAAUGUGUAAGUAACUAUGCACGUCUUGACGGUACCUAAUCAGAAAGCCACGGCUAACUACGU
rnacentral:rRNA from 1 species